CGCCUCGCCUCGCCUCGCCUCGUCUCUCGCUUAAGGCCAUAGGGUACCCUAUCGCCUCUUGCCUUAAUAAUACUGGUGUAAUCAUAAUUGACACUAAAUGUUAAAUACUGGCACAGAUUAUUGUCUAUAUCUGAAAUCCGGAUAAAAUGGUUGAUUUUAGCCAUUAAUCCUUAUUUCCAUGGUGAACCUAUCAAAAACUUAAUUACAAAUCCCAAAGAACAGCGAAAAAAAAAAGAAUUAACAAUAGUGUCUGUAC
rnacentral:misc_RNA from 1 species